rnacentral:rRNA from 1 species
UACGUAGGUGGCGAGCGUUGUCCGGAAUUACUGGGUGUAAAGGGCGUGUAGGCGGGGAUACAAGUCAGAUGUGAAAUACCUUGGCUUAACUGAGGAGCUGCAUCUGAAACUGUAUUUCUUGAGUGCUGGAGAGGGAAGCGGAAUUCCUAGUGUAGCGGUGAAAUGCGUAGAUAUUAGGAGGAACACCAGUGGCGAAGGCGGCUUUCUGGACAGUAACUGACGCUGAGGCGCGAAAGCGUGGGGAG